rnacentral:rRNA from 1 species
UACGUAGGGUGCAAGCGUUGUCCGGAAUUAUUGGGCGUAAAGAGCUCGUAGGCGGUCUGUUGCGUCGGCUGUGAAAACCCGGGGCUCAACUCCGGGCCUGCAGCCGAUACGGGCAGACUAGAGUUCGGCAGGGGAGACUGGAAUUCCUGGUGUAGCGGUGAAAUGCGCAGAUAUCAGGAGGAACACCGGUGGCGAAGGCGGGUCUCUGGGCCGACACUGACGCUGAGGCGCGAAAGCCAGGGGAGCAAACGGG